rnacentral:rRNA from 1 species
GACGAACGCUGGCGGCGUGCUUAACACAUGCAAGUCGAACGGAAAGGCCCUGCUUUUGUGGGGUGCUCGAGUGGCGAACGGGUGAGUAACACGUGAGUAACCUGCCCUUGACUUUGGGAUAACUUCAGGAAACUGGGGCUAAUACCGGAUAGGAGCUCCUGCUGCAUGGUGGGGGUUGGAAAGUUUCGGCGGUUGGGGAUGGACUCGCGGCUUAUCAGCUUGUUGGUGGGGUAGUGGCUUACCAAGGCUUUGACGGGUAGCCGGCCUGGGAGGGUGACCGGCCACAUUGGGACUGAGAUACGGCCCAGACUCCUACGGGAGGCAGCAGUGGGGAAUAUUGCACAAUGGGCGGAGGCCUGAUGCAGCAACGCCGCGUGCGGGAUGACGGCCUUCGGGUUGUAAACCGCUUUCGCCUGUGACGAAGCGUGAGUGACGGUAAUGGGGAAAGAAGCACCGGCUAACUACGU